GACGAACGCUGGCGGCGUGCUUAACACAUGCAAGUCGAACGGAAAGGCUCCAGCUUGCUGGAGUACUCGAGUGGCGAACGGGUCAGUAACACGUGGGUAAUCUGCCCUGCACUCUGGGAUAAGCCUGGGAAACUGGGUCUAAUACUGGAUAUGACCUUUCUCCUUAUGGGGUUUGGUGGAAAGUUUUUCGGUGUAGGAUGAGCCCGCGGCCUAUCAGCUUGUUGGUGGGGUGAUGGCCUACCAAGGCGACGACGGGUAGCCGGCCUGAGAGGGUGAUCGGCCACAUUGGGACUGAGAUACGGCCCAGACUCCUACGGGAGGCAGCAGUGGGGAAUAUUGCACAAUGGGCGGAAGCCUGAUGCAGCGACGCCGCGUGAGGGAUGACGGCCUUCGGGUUGUAAACCUCUUUCAGCAGGGACGAAGCGUAAGUGACGGUACCUGCAGAAGAAGCACCGGCUAACUAUGUG
rnacentral:rRNA from 1 species